rnacentral:rRNA from 1 species
UGGGGAAUAUUGCACAAUGGGGGAAACCCGUACGAUGCAGCGACGCCGCGUGAACGAAGAAGUAUUUCGGUAUGUAAAGUUCUAUCAGCAGGGAAGAUAAUGACGGUACCUGAGGAAUAAGCCCCGGCUAACUACGUGCCAGCAGCCGCGGUAAUACGUAGGGGGCGAGCGUUGUCCGGAAUGACUGGGCGUAAAGGGUGUGUAGGUGGUUUGAUAAGUUAGAUGUGUAAUACCCAGGGCUUAACUCGGGCGCUACAUCUAAAACUGUUAGACUUGAGUACUGGAGAGGAUAGUGGAAUUCCUAGUGUAGCGGUGGAAUGCGUAGAUAUUAGGAGGAACAUCAGUGGCGAAGGCGACUAUCUGGACAGCAACUGACACUGAGGCACGAAAGCGUGGGGAGCAAACAGGAUUAGAUACCCUGGUAGU